GCUGGGCAUGGCGGCGCAUGCCUGUAAUCCCAGCGGCUUGGGAGGCUGAGGCAGGAGGAUCAUGAGUUCAAAGCCAGCCUCAGCAAAAGUGAGGUGCUGAGCAACUCAGUAAGACCCAGUCUCUA
rnacentral:sRNA from 1 species